UGGGGAAUAUUGCACAAUGGGCGCAAGCCUGAUGCAGCCAUGCCGCGUGUGUGAAGAAGGCCUUGGGUUGUAAAGCACUUUCAGCGGGGAGGAAGGCGGUGAGGUUAAUAACCUCAUCGAUUGACGUUACCCGCAGAAGAAGCACCGGCUAACUCCGUGCCAG
rnacentral:rRNA from 1 species